rnacentral:tRNA from 1 species
UCCCUGGUGGCUCAGACGGUAAAGCAUCUGUCUACAAUGCAGGAGACCCAGGUUCGAUCCCUGGAUUGGGAA